rnacentral:lncRNA from 1 species
CUGAAUUCUAAUGCAAAGUGGAGAAAGCUAUUGCCUAUAGGUAGUUUUAAAUAUGUGAUAAUGUGAGAAUUGCCAGUCACAGAGCCUUGAACAGAGAAGCUUCUCAUUCAGUAGACACAUAUCAUCAUCACAUUUAUUCCAUGUCAAAUGUUUAUAGGUGAGAAAGUUAAUUUUGGAUGUCUUCCUAGUCUAUUGAUAGUAUAAAGAACAUUGGAGGAUUGAAACUAUUAUUUUUCUUUUUAUUUCUCACCAUGAGUUUGAUAACGGAUGCUCAAUAAAUAUUUAACCAAGGACUUGAAGAUGAGUGUUUCUGUGUUGUCACAUACUAAUCACAUGAGGACCCAUAACAUUGCUCUGGAACAGUGAUUCUUAACCUUUCUGAUUUUAUAUUCCUCUCAUUACUACAUCAAAGAACGAGGAUCUCAACAUGAUAGAAAGAAAAGGACACUUUAUUCUGAGAAAUAUAUAGAGAUGUUUAUAGACCUUGUGUUGUUUCAUUUAUCAUUGAUGGUAAAUUUUAAGGACAGGAUUACUGCUUUUGUAUUGAUGGGAACCAGUUUUACAGCUCUGGCUUUAAAAUAAAGUGAUUCUGUUCAGUUUUGAAAUGUAUAUAGUUUCAUAAUGAUAUAGAUGAGAAAGAAAGAUAUUGCCAUGGUAACUGUGGAACCCAAAGAUAAUAAUAAUUUUUAAAUUGAAGUCAUAUUAUUGUCAGGUGAGGUUGGCAGGAGAAAUCUACCAUACUGGAUAAAGGAUAUAACAAGUGAAGGAUGGUGGAUUGUUAAGAAUUCUUUUGAAAAACUUCAGCCCAUUAAGACAUUUUCUUGUUCCUUCAGGGUGAGGCUUGUAGUUGGUUAAUCACAACUCUGUAGAGAAGCUGAGAGAAAAAAAAUUCCAUAUUCCUUCCUAGAUUUGAAAUUCAUGUGAUGGCUCCAUAUAAGUACUUAGUGUGAAUGGAAUUUUGAACUUGGAGUAAAGAAUACUCCCUUUUAAAUGUAUGAAAAAAAUGAUUGUUACAGUUAAUUUUUUUUCAGAUGUGAUUUAAUCAGUAUUUGAAGUACCACCAUAUUCCAAAAGCAGUGUUGAGUAAUUAGGGUAUCAAGUGAAUGAGAUUAUUUAUAUAUUUGAGAUUCUAAUGUACUAGUGGAACAAACAAGUAGGUGCAUUUAAUACAAUGCUACCAGCUAUAGAGAUGGAGACAAAGUAUUAUUAGCAAAAGAACAAACACUAAGUUCAAAUCAGGUAUUCAAAGGUUAAUGUGUGAAGUGAGUCCCAAAGAUUGAAGAUAUCUUCCUCCAAAAAUUAAGAUGGGAAGGAAAUUCAGAGAAGGAAAUUCCAGGAAGACAUAUAGAACAAAACCCACUGAUGUUUCUUAUGUAUUGCUUCACCUUUCCUUGAAUUUGCACAUUGUUUUUCUUUGUUUGUAAAUACCUUUGUUGCCUCUUCUCUACCUGUUAAAAAUCAUUAUUCUUCAAAAAUCAACUCAGAUCUCUUCUAUUUGUGAAAGUUUCUCUAUCUUUCAUAAAACACUGAAUCAACCUUCCCUUUGUUCAACAAAUGUUAUGCUUCUGUUAUAACUCGACAUCACUCUGUUUGGCAAAUAUUUUUUCACUUGCUUUUUUUUUUUUCUCCUUAAAUUAGAGGCAUCCUGGGAUCCCUGGGUGGCGCAGCGGUUUGGCGCCUGCCUUUGGCCCAGGGCGCGAUCCUGGAGACCGGGAUCGAAUCCCACGUCAGGCUCCCAGUGCAUGGAGCCUGCUUCUCCCUCUGCCUAUGUCUCUGCCUCUCUCUUUCUCUCUCUGUGACUAUCAUAAAUAAAUAAAAAUUAAAAAAAAAAA